rnacentral:rRNA from 1 species
UACGGAGGGAGCUAGCGUUGUUCGGAAUUACUGGGCGUAAAGCGCACGUAGGCGGCUUUGUAAGUUAGAGGUGAAAGCCCGGGGCUCAACUCCGGAACUGCCUUUAAGACUGCAUCGCUUGAAUCCAGGAGAGGUGAGUGGAAUUCCAGGUGUAGCGGUGAAAUGCGUAGAUAUCUGGAGGAACACCGGUGGCGAAGGCGGCAUCCUGGACCGGUAUUGACGCUGAGGCGCGAAAGCCAGGGGAGCAAACGGG